AUUUAUAUAGUUUAUAAAAACACUUCAUUUUCAAUGAAGAAAUGAGACCCACUCUAUAAAUA
rnacentral:tRNA from 1 species